AGUGAACGCUGGCGGUAGGCCUAACACAUGCAAGUCGAACGGCAGCACAGUAAGAGCUUGCUCUUACGGGUGGCGAGUGGCGGACGGGUGAGGCAUACAUCGGAAUCUACUUUUUCGUGGGGGAUAACGUAGGGAAACUUACGCUAAUACCGCAUACGACCUACGGGUGAAAGCAGGGGAUCUUCGGACCUUGCGCGAUUGAAUGAGCCGAUGUCGGAUUAGCUAGUUGGCGGGGUAAAGGCCCACCAAGGCGACGAUCCGUAGCUGGUCUGAGAGGAUGAUCAGCCACACUGGAACUGAGACACGGUCCAGACUCCUACGGGAGGCAGCAGUGGGGAAUAUUGGACAAUGGGCGCAAGCCUGAUCCAGCCAUACCGCGUGGGUGAAGAAGGCCUUCGGGUUGUAGAGCCCUUUUGUUGGGAAAGAAAAGCAGCAGGUUAAUACCCCGCUGUUCUGACGGUACCCAAAGAAUAAGCACCGGCUAACUUCGUG
rnacentral:rRNA from 1 species